rnacentral:rRNA from 1 species
AAUAGAUACCCGGGUAGUCCACGCCGUAAACUAUGGAUGCUAGCUGUUAUGAGUAUCGACCCUCGUAGUAGCGAAGCUAACGCGUUAAGCAUCCCGCCUGUGGAGUACGAGCGCAAGCUUAAAACAUAAAGGAAUUGACGGGGACCCGCACAAGCGGUGGAGCGUGUUGUUUAAUUCGAUGAUAAGCGUAGAACCUUACCAAGGCUUGACAUCCCUGGAAGGUCUCCGAAAGGAGACUGUGCCUUCGGGAAUCAGGUGACAGGUGCUGCAUGGCCGUCGUCAGCUCGUGUCGUGAGAUGUUUGGUUAAGUCCAUCAACGAGCGCAACCCUUAUAAAUAGUUGAAUUUUUCUAUUUAGACCGCCUCGGUAACGGGGAGGAAGGAGGGGAUGACGUCAGGUCAGUAUUGCCCUUAUGCCUUGGGCUACAAACACGCUACAAUGGCCGGUACAAAGGGCUGCCAACCGCGAGGGGAGCAAAUCCCAUCAAAACCGGUCCCAGUUCGGAUAGCAGGCUGAAACUCGCCUGCUUGAAGUCGGAAUCGCUAGUAAC